rnacentral:rRNA from 1 species
GUGGGGAAUAUUGGACAAUGGGCGAAAGCCUGAUCCAGCCAUGCCGCGUGUGUGAAGAAGGUCUUCGGAUUGUAAAGCACUUUAAGUUGGGAGGAAGGGCAGUAAGUUAAUACCUUGCUGUUUUGACGUUACCGACAGAAUAAGCACCGGCUAACUUCGUGCCAGCAGCCGCGGUAAUACGAAGGGUGCAAGCGUUAAUCGGAAUUACUGGGCGUAAAGCGCGCGUAGGUGGUUUUGUAAGUUGGAGGUGAAAUCCCCGGGCUCAACCUGGGAACUGCCUCCGAAACUGCAUGACUAGAGUACGGUAGAGGGUAGUGGAAUUUCCUGUGUAGCAGUGAAAUGCGUAGAUAUAGGAAGGAACACCAGUGGCGAAGGCGACUACCUGGACUGAUACUGACACUGAGGUGCGAAAGCGUGGGGAGCAAACAGGAUUAGAAACCCCGGUAGUCC